GCUGCAUCGGUUAGAUUGGGAUACUCAUCAAAUUAUUACCGAAAACCGAGAAUGCUUAACCGACUAAUGGCGUGCCGAUAUGCGCUUUGCGUAGGGUCGGAUUACAAAGGUCGGAGGGGCGCUCAAAUCUUAUUCUCUCGGAGUUUCAUCACAUCACUGAUGCAGCCUUUUU
rnacentral:sRNA from 1 species